rnacentral:rRNA from 1 species
GAUGAACGCUGGCGGCGUGCCUAAUACAUGCAAGUCGAGCGAACUGAUUAGAAGCUUGCUUCUAUGACGUUAGCGGCGGACGGGUGAGUAACACGUCGGCAACCUGCCUGUAAGACUGGGAUAACUUCGGGAAACUGAAGCUAAUACCGGAUAGGAUCUUCUCAUUCAUGGGUGAUGAUUGAAAGAUGGUUUCGGCUAUCACUUACAGAUGGGCUCGCGGUGCAUUAGCUAGUUGGUGAGGUAACGGCUCACCAAGGCAACGAUGCAUAGCCGACCUGAGAGGGUGAUCGGCCACACUGGGACUGAGACACGGCCCAGACUCCUACGGGAGGCAGCAGUAGGGAAUCUUCCGCAAUGGACGAAAGUCUGACGGAGCAACGCCGCGUGAGUGAUGAAGGCUUUCGGGUCGUAAAACUCUGUUGUUAGGGAAGAACAAGUACAAGAGUAACUGCUUGUACCUUGACGGUACCUAACCAGAAAGCCACGGCUAACUACGUGCCAGCCGCCGCAGUAA